AGAGUUUGAUCCUGGCUCAGGAUGAACGCUAGCGACAGGCUUAACACAUGCAAGUCGAGGGGCAGCGAGGGCGUAGCAAUACGCCUGUCGGCGACCGGCGCACUGGUGAGUAACACGUAUGCGACCUGCCCCCUACAGGGGUAUAACCCGUAGAAAUGCGGACUAAUCCCCCAUAGUCCUGAGUGCUGCAUGGCAUUCAGGGGAAAGGGUUUCCGGUAGGGGAUGGGCAUGCGGCGCAUUAGCUAGUUGGCGGGGCAACGGCCCACCAAGGCGACGAUGCGUAGGGGUUCUGAGAGGAAGGUCCCCCACACUGGUACUGAGACACGGACCAGACUCCUACGGGAGGCAGCAGUGAGGAAUAUUGGUCAAUGGGCGCAGGCCUGAACCAGCCAAGUCGCGUGAGGGAGGACGGUCCUACGGAUUGUAAACCUCUUUUGUCGGGGAGUAACGUGCGGGACGUGUCCCGUAUUGAGAGUACCCGAAGAAAAAGCAUCGGCUAACUCCGUGCCAGCAGCCGCGGUAAUACGGAGGAUGCGAGCGUUAUCCGGAUUUAUUGGGUUUAAAGGGUGCGCAGGCGGCGCGCCAAGUCAGCGGUCAAAGUUCCGGGCUCAACCCGGUGUCGCCGUUGAAACUGGCGUGCUCGAGUGCGUGCGAGGAAGGCGGAAUGCGUUGUGUAGCGGUGAAAUGCAUAGAUAUGACGCAGAACUCCGAUUGCGAAGGCAGCUUUCCAGCGCGCUACUGACGCUGAGGCACGAAAGCGUGGGGAUCGAACAGGAUUAGAUACCCUGGUAGUCCACGCAGUAAACGAUGACUACUAGCUUUCCGGGAUGAUUGAGUCCUGGGAGGCACAGCGAAAGCGUUAAGUAGUCCACCUGGGGAGUACGCCGGCAACGGUGAAACUCAAAGGAAUUGACGGGGGCCCG
rnacentral:rRNA from 1 species